rnacentral:rRNA from 1 species
AGCAGCCGCGGUAAUUCCAGCUCCAAUAGCGUAUAUUAAAGUUGCUGCAGUUAAAAAGCUCGUAGUUGAAUUUCGGGACCAUCAUGUCGGUCGUGCCUCGGUACGUACUGGCAUUGUUGGUUUCUCCCUUCUGACGAACCAUGAUGUCAUUAAUUUGGUGUCAUGGGGAAUCAGGACUGUUACUUUGAAAAAAUUAGAGUGUUUAAAGCAGGCUCACGCUUGAAUACAUUAGCAUGGAAUAAUGAAAUAGGACGUUUGAUUCUAUUUUGUUGGUUUCUAGGAUCGACGUAAUGGUUAAUAGGGAUAGUUGGGGGCAUUAGUAUUCAAUUGUCAGAGGUGAAAUUCUUGGAUUUAUUGAAGACUAACUACUGCGAAAGCAUUUGCCAAGGAUGUUUUCAUUAAUCAAGAACGAAAGUUAGGGGAUCGAAGACGAUCAGAUACCGUCGUAGU